GACGAACGCUGGCGGCGUGCGUAACACAUGCAAGUCGAGCGGAAAGGCCCUUUCGGGGGUACUCGAGCGGCGAACGGGUGAGUAACACGUGAGUAAUCUGCCUCUGGCUUCGGGAUAGCCACCGGAAACGGUGAUUAAUACCGGAUAUGACGCAUCACUGCAUGGUGUGUGCGUGGAAAGUUUUUUCGGCCAGGGAUGUGCUCGCGGCCUGUCAGCUUGUUGGUGGGGUAAUGGCCUACCAAGGCUUCGACGGGUAGCCGGCCUGAGAGGGUGACCGGCCACACUGGGACUGAGAGACGGCCCAGACUCCUACGGGAGGCAGCAGUGGGGAAUAUUGGACAAUGGGCGGAAGCCUGAUCCAGCAACGCCGCGUGAGGGAUGACGGCCUUCGGGUUGUAAACCUCUUUCAGCACAGACGAAGCGCAAGUGACGGUAUGUGCAGAAGAAGGACCAGCCAACUACGUGCCAGCCGCCGCGGUAACAC
rnacentral:rRNA from 1 species